CUGUGUACACACCAGGAUCUGAGCCGACCCCGCCACCGAUUUCCAAUUGAAAAGCCCCGAACUCCCCCAAGAAUAGGAAUCAACUAACUCGAUGCUGCCAGACCUGCUGAGCUUUUCCAGCAACUUGUGUUUUUGUAGCUGCUCUGUACACCCUGGUUACGGCCGGGAAGUUGCUCUAUCUUACCGUGCUUGCCUCUGAGCCACCAGUCCAGCCAGUGAAAGGAAAUCGACUCUCCCAAUCAGUAAGUUGCUGUCCACCAUGCAAAACGGAGCAGCCGCCUCAUUGUUGGUCAACUGGAAACAGGACAACAGGAGUAAACAAUUUCCAGAAUCCGCACGACUUUGCUUUCAUUUGGUGAAUUCCUCGCACUCGCUUAGCACUAUCGUCUAAGAUGACUUGCCUUUUAUUGUCCCUCAUUGCUUACAAAAGGUUGAGUUAACAGAAUGCCUUCAUUUCCGUUUCUGAUGCUGCCUGACAAUCUCGACAAUGUGGGAAGAGCCCCAUCCAGCCUGCACCGACCCACCGAACAGCAUCCCACCCAGACCCCUACCCUAUUACCCUGUAUUUCCAGAGGCCAACCCACCCCCCAACCCGCACAUCUUUGGACUGUGGGAGGAAAUCGGAGCGCCCGGAGGAAACCCAUGCAGAGAAUGUGCAAACUCCGCACAGACAGACGGCCCAGAGUGGAAUUAAGAAUCUACGGCCCCCUGGCCCUGUGAGGCAACAAUGCUAACUGGAGCCACCGCGCUGCCCAUCUCACAACACAAAUGAUUGCCGGAGUUGCUCCUCUCCAUAAGCACAAGGGACCCACUUGCUCCGGGAUCCUCAAAACUGUGUUGCUCCUCAUCCUGUCCACUUUUCCCUUCCUUGUACAAUCUACAAGCUGUAAACAAAACUCAAGGAGGGAUCUUUCCUUAGUCCCUUUCCCUGAAAUUUCUUUAUUUAAAAAGCUAUUUUAAAAUACUUGUCCAUAUCCUUUUUAAAAGUUAGCAUUGACUUUUUUCAAUUCGCAUCACCUAACCAUUCCUCUUCAUUAAUCUCAUCUUCUCACUCACUCUAUUGAACCGUGCUAGCGCCUCCACACUCCGAGGCCCUGUCCUUCUCAAUAAAAAAAGGCAAACUGCUCACAUUCUGCUCUAAAUGCAGAAGACAGUUUGUUAACAUUUCAAUGCAGCUUGAAGACCUGGAGAUCCGUGUUCUGUUGUGCUUUCCCUAGCAGCUGUCCACGGCACACGGUAAAGCCAGCAUUAAAGACAAUUCAUCGGGUAUCAGACUUGAAAAAUUUCAUUUAAGUUCAUUAUUAACAUGAGUUCAUUGCCGAAACAAAUUAUUCUAAAAAGUUCUGAAGGAGGGUCACCGGACCCGAAACGUUAACUCUGAUUUUUUCCUUCACAGAUGCUGCCAGACCUGCUGAGCUUUUCCAGCAACUUUGUUUUUACUCUAAAGAAGAUUUAUUUAUUUCACUGUAGCAGACCAGACGCAAAACUCUAUAAGUGUGAAGGGAGUGGGUUCACUCCUCGAAUCUCCCUCCCUGUGAUUGUAAUUUUAUUAAACCGCCCUCUCAGUUCUUUUCAGAGAACUGUAUCCAUUUACAAACACAGUCCGUUCCCAACCUUGUGUUUUGACAGCUGCCCGGCGUUCCCGCGCUUCCACUCGAAUCGCCCGCUGGACUUCCCGAUAUCCUCCUCCUGGAAGAUGGGACCGACGGAUUUUGCCAACCUUUUGUUCAGUUUCAAAAUUUCCGCGGGGUAACUUUUGGGGAAGGCGUUCAUUAUGUGCUGGACGCUCUCUGCAAUGGUCUGCGCUGUGGCAAGGUCCAGUUGGGUGGGGCUGUCUCGGGGACAUGUGGGGUCGUCCCCUGGGAGGCUGCUGUCAGGCUCUGGCGGUUGGCACUCUUGGCCAGAAAACGUUUCCCUCCCAUCGGACGGCGGGUUGGGGCUGAUGCUCCUUGCUGACGCAUUGAUGAAACU